rnacentral:lncRNA from 1 species
GGUAUGUGCCUAAUCUCUACAAAAGACAACGUUAGUGCACUUCUAUGCUGCACCCUAGCGUGCUGAAACAAAGAAAAAUACAUUCAAAGAACUGCAUUCUUAGUCCUACCUGGGUGAGAACAGCUCUGGCUAUGAUGAACAUGACAUCCUGCUAAGGAUGCAGAGGCUAGCCCUGUACCCUGCCCUGCCUGCUGUGCAUGCUGCUGGACCAUCUGUCAGUGGAGCUCUCAGACCCUAUUCUUGAAGAAACAGCAGAUUGUGAUCAUCAAGGGUAGUGACAAAAAGAAAACAAGAAGUUGGGAAAUAGAGAUGACCAUGUCCAUAUUCGUAAAUUAUGACGUGAACGUUCCCCUGGAUGAGACCAUCUGCGCUAUUCAUUUAUAUGAGAACUAGCAAUAGCCAAGAAUUGCUCCUGGUCAUUAGUUUGGGUGCAGCCACAGUAGUCUUGAGACUGAGAGUUUAUCUUCAUUGUGGAUACAAGUUAUUCUGUGACAAUUGGUUUAUGUUGAGAUGGUCCUGAAAAUGCUGAAUUAAGGCGGAGGUACCUCUACCAUGGAAAAUCAUGUGUCACCAUGUGGGUAAAAAGGAAGGCUGAUUUCUUCCAUACUACUUAGCCCAAAUUAGGACUGCUAGAUGCAGCUGUUUAGGAGAAUCAUGGUGUUGCAACUUGUUAUCACUUCUAUCUGCUUUGGAUGCAGACAGCGGGAGAUGGCUGAAUCUGAUGAAACCCCCAUGAGCUGCACCCUUGAUGCAAUGCACAUUCCUUGCUCAUUGACUCACAGCUAUCAACUUUCCUUUACUCCCUCUUUGCCAUGUGUUUUGUAGCACUCUAAACACCUGAGGAGACAAUGUUUUGAGCAGACACUUGCUGUAUUUGCGCACAGUACUGCAUGUCUUCUCUCUGUCACUCUGGACAUACAUGGCUCAUGCAACAGAUCAGAAAUUAGGUAAGCAAAGAUAUAAAGUUAUUCUGCUUGUGCAGAAUGGAUAAUGAGAGUAAUGCAAUUAACAGUAUUAAUGUUAAUAACUAGAUAUCUGCUAUUAGCAGUCUCCCACCUUGAUCAUUUAUUAAACAGUGACAC